AUUACAUUUCCCCCUGGAGAGACAGCGAGGAGCAUUCAGAGACCAGUAUGACAAAGAUGUACAGACUCUACAGUCCCACAAGGAGCCAUGGAUAACUGACAGCAUCCAGGGGAAGGCUGAGUGAAAUGCUACAGCUGAUCCAAACUAUGCAUGAUGGGAAAACACAGCCUGGACAACCAACCUUGUUGAGCUCUUCUAUUCUGCGGAUCA